rnacentral:rRNA from 1 species
AGUAGCUUGCUACUCUGCUGACGAGCGGCGGACGGGUGAGUAAUGCUUGGGAAUAUGCCUUAUGGUGGGGGACAACAGUUGGAAACGACUGCUAAUACCGCAUGAUGUCUACGGACCAAAGUGGGGGACCUUCGGGCCUCACGCCAUAAGAUUAGCCCAAGUGGGAUUAGCUAGUUGGUGAGGUAAUGGCUCACCAAGGCGACGAUCCCUAGCUGGUUUGAGAGGAUGAUCAGCCACACUGGGACUGAGACACGGCCCAGACUCCUACGGGAGGCAGCAGUGGGGAAUAUUGCACAAUGGGCGCAAGCCUGAUGCAGCCAUGCCGCGUGUGUGAAGAAGGCCUUCGGGUUGUAAAGCACUUUCAGUAAGGAGGAAAGGUUAAGUGUUAAUAGCGCUUAGCUGUGACGUUACUUACAGAAGAAGCACCGGCUAACUCCGUGCCAGCAGCCGCGGUAAUACGGAGGGUGCGAGCGUUAAUCGGAAUUACUGGGCGUAAAGCGUACGCAGGCGGUUUGUUAAGCGAGAUGUGAAAGCCCCGGGCUCAACCUGGGAACUGCAUUUCGAACUGGCAAACUAGAGUGUGAUAGAGGGUGGUAGAAUUUCAGGUGUAGCGGUGAAAUGCGUAGAGAUCUGAAGGAAUACCGAUGGCGAAGGCAGCC